rnacentral:misc_RNA from 1 species
UCCACCGCAGUCCUCAGUUUCCGCUUGGAGAUACUCUUACAGGCCAGUAACUCCCUAGAAUCACGGUCAAUACAAAGAUAAGUAACGCCAAACUCUCCGCGGCCCAGCUCACGAUCGACAAGGUACUUCUCUUCAAUAUUCUCUUUAGGAACACCAGUGAGGACAGUGAUCGGCGCUUUCUUAGCAGCUCCGGCAUCUUUCUUGGC